rnacentral:rRNA from 1 species
UACGAAGGGGGCUAGCGUUGCUCGGAAUCACUGGGCGUAAAGCGCACGUAGGCGGAUCUUUAAGUCAGGGGUGAAAUCCUGGAGCUCAACUCCAGAACUGCCUUUGAUACUGGGGAUCUCGAGUCCGGAAGAGGUGAGUGGAACUCCGAGUGUAGAGGUGAAAUUCGUAGAUAUUCGGAAGAACACCAGUGGCGAAGGCGGCUCACUGGCCCGAUACUGACGCUGAGGCACGAAAGCGUGGGGAGCAAACGGG